CCCUUAGAUGUUCUGGGCUGCACGCGCGCUACACUGAAGCGUUCAACGAGUAUUCACCUUGCCCGGGAGGGUUGGGUAAUCUUUUGAAAACGCUUCGUGAUGGGGAUAGAUUAUUGCAAUUAUUAAUCUUCAACGAGGAAUUCCUAGUAAGCGCGAGUCAUCAGCUCGUGCUGAUUACGUCCCUGCCCUUUGUACACACCGCCCGUCGCACCUACCGAUUGAAUGGUCCGGUGAAAUCUCCGGACUGGCGUGAGUCGGAGCAAUCUGACAAACGCCGGAAAGUUGAUUAAACCUUACCAUUUAGAGGAAGGUGAANUCGUAACA
rnacentral:rRNA from 1 species